UGGGGAAUAUUGGACAAUGGACCAAGAGUCUGAUCCAGCAAUUCUGUGUGCACGAUGAAGUUUUUCGGAAUGUAAAGUGCUUUCAGUUGGGAAGAAAAAAAUGACGGUACCAACAGAAGAAGUGACGGCUAAAUACGUGCCAGCAGCCGCGGUAAUACGUAUGUCACGAGCGUUAUCCGGAUUUAUUGGGCGUAAAGCGCGUCUAGGUGGUUAUGUAAGUCUGAUGUGAAAAUGCAGGGCUCAACUCUGUAUUGCGUUGGAAACUGUAUAACUAGAGUACUGGAGAGGUAAGCGGAACUACAAGUGUAGAGGUGAAAUUCGUAGAUAUUUGUAGGAAUGCCGAUGGGGAAGCCAGCUUACUGGACAGAUACUGACGCUGAAGUGCGAAAGCGUGGGUAGCAAACAGGAUUAGAUACCCUGGUAGUCCACGCCGUAACGAUGAUUACUAGGUGUUGGGGGUCGAACCUCAGCGCCCAAGCAAACGCGAUAAGUAAUCCGCCUGGGGAGUACGUACGCAAGUAU
rnacentral:rRNA from 1 species